UACGUAGGGUGCGAGCGUUGUCCGGAAUUAUUGGGCGUAAAGGGCUCGUAGGCGGUCUGUUGCGUCGGGAGUGAAAACUCAGGGCUUAACCCUGAGCCUGCUUCCGAUACGGGCAGACUAGAGGUAUGCAGGGGAGAACGGAAUUCCUGGUGUAGCGGUGAAAUGCGCAGAUAUCAGGAGGAACACCGGUGGCGAAGGCGGGUCUCUGGGCCGAAACUGACGCUGAGGAGCGAAAGCGUGGGGAGCGAACAGG
rnacentral:rRNA from 1 species